UACGGGGGGGGGCAAGCGUUGUUCGGAAUUACUGGGCGUAAAGGGCGCGUAGGCGGCCCUCUAAGUCAGACGUGAAAUCCCACGGCUCAACCGUGGAACUGCGUCUGAUACUGGAGGGCUUGAAUCCGGGAGAGGGAUGUGGAAUUCCCAGUGUAGCGGUGAAAUGCGUAGAUAUUGGGGAGGAACACCAGUGGCGAAGGCGGCUCACUGGACCGGAACUGACGCUGAGGCGCGAAAGCGUGGGGAGCAAACAGG
rnacentral:rRNA from 1 species